GACGAGCGACACAAACGUUAUUCGGAAUCACUGGGCUUAAAGGGUGCGUAGGCGGCGCGGAAAGUGGGGUGUGAAAGCCCUCGGCUCAACCGAGGAAUUGCGCUCCAAACUACCGUGCUUGAGUGAGACAGAGGUAAGCGGAACUUCGGGUGGAACGGUGAAAUGUGUUGAUAUCCGAAGGAACACCGGUGGCGAAAGCGGCUUACUGGGUCGCAACUGACGCUGAUGCACGAAAGCCAGGGUAGCAAACGGG
rnacentral:rRNA from 1 species